AUAUUGUUUGAGUUGGUUUGGUGUCCAAAAUGUUGUGUGGAAUGAAUAUGAGUUUGAACUAGGUUCAAAAUGUUAUUUAUAAAGGAGCCACAUUACCGGGGUUGUGAUCACUAUAUCCGGUUAUCCAUUUAAAAUACGGGUCUGGAAUGGGUCAUAUGGGACCGAAUGAUUAUUUUUCAAGAGUACUUUUAUUGUGGUUAUUAUUUCUAAAAAACGAUUACAAAGUGGCUGGAUUACUCAAUUUUCCAAAGAUAAAUGAUUAUCGAUAAAUAAAAAGAUUUCACAUAGGCAUACACUAUAUAGCCUAAUUAAUGCAUAAGAUUUUGUUUAAUUAAAAUCAUGAUCUUCAAACAUGUUGGAGCACUAACUGACUCGAAAAAGAGGGUUUCAGACGCCUGAACUCUUUCAUAUUUCUUCUUUCUUGAAAUUAUGAGAAAGUUAGUCGUUUUCCUCUUGGGGUCAUUCUUUUCUUAUGCCCUUCCUCCUUUUCUGAAACACUUGCGGUUUCUAUAGUGUUUUUAUGCGUAUCAAGGCAUUGGUGUCCACUCUACAAACAUAUGUCAUCUGACUUGCUUACAAGUUUCAAAGGAAAUAGUACUUAAUCGUUCAUCUCACGCCACCUAGCCUGCUGCUUCCUUCUUAUUUUCCCUUCUUGAUUGAACAUUUCACUUGUAACUUCUCCUCUACUGCCUUUGUUUCUUGAAACCGAAGCCUCUCACCCCCAAUAUCAACUUUUACCCCAACCUCUUUGAAGGGAACACUUGAAAUAUUCAUUCGUUUGAUUUCAGCAAAUAAAACCUCCGGAAUCUUGAAGCAAAACAGAGAAAUCAAGAACGAUAUUCUGCGUGGGCUUCCCAUAUUGAAGUUUUUUCAUUGACAUUUUUACAUUCACACAAAUCGGAGAAUGCCACAGUGGACAGAAGGUUUAUCUUGAGGAUCUGUCUCACAUGUUAUGGGAGACAAGGAAAUGGUGAAGCUAGCUACAAAAAGAUUAGUAAAAUGAUAUAAGUGGUUUUCCUUUAUUUUCUCCUUACAUCAAUUUAUUUAUCCAUUUAAAGACUUAGUUCGUAUUUUGUUAUAUAUAAAAAAAAAACAGAUUACAAUGCUAUAGUUCAGUAACUGUGUUUCUUUAAGGUUUAUUGGUUCUAAAACACAUUAUUUGUUGAGGUUC